CGCGUAGGCGGCCUCUCAAGCGGGAUCUCUAAUCCGAGGGCUCAACCCCCCGGCCGGAUCCCGAACUGGGAGGCUCGAGUUCGGUAGAGGCAGGCGGAAUUCCCGGUGUAGCGGUGGAAUGCGCAGAUAUCGGGAAGAACACCGAUGGCGAAGGCAGCCUGCUGGGCCGCAACUGACGCUGAGGCGCGAAAGCGUGGGGAGCGAACA
rnacentral:rRNA from 1 species